rnacentral:lncRNA from 12 species
UACACACACACACACACACACACACACACGCGCACACGGGCCUGCUCCUUCUUGCCUAGGCCUGGCUCAGCCACCUGGACACCUCCCCCCUCCACACCACGUGCCUGCCUGGCUCGGGCCACCCGGGGAAGGGUAGGAACACUGGUCCAGGCCCUGUCCAGGGGCUCACCCCCCGCCACGUGCCUCCGGGUCCCGCGGGGGCCUGGACUGGGGCUUAACCCGCCGGAGGCGCUCUCUGUCCUGUUGUUAUGGUGAUCGCUGUUGCCACCGCUUAAUCCAGCGAGCCUGGGAAAUUCCUCAGGGCGGGGUCGGUGUCCAGCGCAUUUCCGGGUCUUCAGACAGCAGCGUGGCCAGAGUGUCCACGGCCACGCUUACAUGGCAGGUUGCCAGGACGGCCCCGCCAGGGCACCUCCUCGGUGUAGCGAGGCUCCAUCCCCCGGAGAGAUCCUCUCACUACCUGCAAGGUCUCCUCCGAGUCACUUCAAUGGCUUCCGGACGCGGUCACCUGCGCGAAGGCCGAGGCACAGGCGGGCGCCUCCCCCCGCGGGUUCUCCGAUGCGUUCCCGGUUUCCUCGCUUCUGCUCAUACUGUUGACUCUGGCGUCACAGGCGAGGUCCUCGAACCCUCCCCGCGGCCAGCUCUAGCUGUCCCAGCGUCACCGGCCGAGUCGCUGUCCCGGGUGGGGUCCCGGGUGGACCCGUUUGCCCAUGGGACGGCGCCGCGCGGUUGUAACUAUGAUGCUUCGUAGUAUGUUCUGAUUUAAUUGGAUUUAGUUUUCUAUUUAAAACGUCUUGGAGGAGGGUGGCUGGGUGGCUCAGUGGCUGAGCGUCCGCCUUGGGCUCAGAGUGUGACCCUGGGGUCCCGGGUUCGAGUCCCGCAUCGGGCUCCCUGCACGGAGCCUGCUUCUCCCUCCGCCUGGGUCUCUGCCUCUCUCUGUGUCUCAUGAAUAAAUGAAUAAAAUCUUUAAAAAAAUAAAGUCUU